UACAGAGGUGGCAAGCGUUGUUCGGAAUUACUGGGCGUAAAGGGUUUGUAGGUGGCCCGCUAAGUCACACGUGAAAUCCCUCAGCUUAACUGGGGAACUGCGUGUGAGACUGGCAGGCUCGAGGGCAGGAGAGGAACGCGGAAUUCCAGGUGUAGCGGUGAAAUGCGUAGAUAUCUGGAGGAACACCGGUGGCGAAGGCGGCGUUCUGGACUGUCUCUGACACUGAAGAACGAAAGCCAGGGGAGCAAACGGGG
rnacentral:rRNA from 1 species